GACGUUUCUGACUCUGCAUCUUGCUCUGCAUCGCCGUCGUUGGUGUCCGCAACAAGAUAGUGGACGGACGUAGGCCACUUUCGAGCUGGUCAGCUUGCAACCCGCAAGAUGCCGAUUCCCAUCGUCAACAACCCGCUGGCGGCCUUGCUGCCUCUGGCCAUGUUCUUCGGCGGCUGGUACUUGGACAAGCUGGAGGACCAGAGGAUGACCAUGUUCAGGAACAAAUCUGCGCUAUACGGCAGGACGCUCAAGCCGGGAGAGAAGGAGCCUUGGCCAUAAGCCAUUACUGAGGACGGACGUUAAUACGGGAAGUGAGCUAGUGUCAUUUGCUUGUGUACAAUACAUUAAUUGUGGGAGGA
rnacentral:lncRNA from 1 species